UAGUCCACGCUGUAAACGAUGUCGAUUUGGAGGUUGUGCCCUUGAGGCGUGGCUUCCGGAGCUAACGCGUUAAAUCGACCGCCUGGGGAGUACGGCCGCAAGGUUAAAACUCAAAUGAAUUGACGGGGGCCCGCACAAGCGGUGGAGCAUGUGGUUUAAUUCGAUGCAACGCGAAGAACCUUACCUACUCUUGACAUCCAGAGAACUUUCCAGAGAUGGAUUGGUGCCUUCGGGAACUCUGAGACAGGUGCUGCAUGGCUGUCGUCAGCUCGUGUUGUGAAAUGUUGGGUUAAGUCCCGCAACGAGCGCAACCCUUAUCCUUUGUUGCCAGCGGUUCGGCCGGGAACUCAAAGGAGACUGCCAGUGAUAAACUGGAGGAAGGUGGGGAUGACGUCAAGUCAUCAUGGCCCUUACGAGUAGGGCUACACACGUGCUACAAUGGCAUAUACAAAGAGAAGCGACCUCGCGAGAGCAAGCGGACCUCAUAAAGUAUGUCGUAGUCCGGAUUGGAGUCUGCAACUCGACUCCAUGAAGUCGGAAUCGCUAGUAAUCGUAGAUCAGAAUGCUACGGUGAAUACGUUCCCGGGCCUUGUACACACCGCCCGUCACACCAUGGGAGUGGGUUGCAAAAGAAGUAGGUAGCUUAACCUUCGGGAGGGCGCUUACCACUUUGUGAUUCAUGACUGGGGUGAAGUCGUAACAAGGUACCAAGGGCGAA
rnacentral:rRNA from 1 species